rnacentral:rRNA from 1 species
AUUGAACGCUGGCGGCAGGCUUAACACAUGCAAGUCGAGCGGAGAUGAGGUGCUUGCACCUUAUCUUAGCGGCGGACGGGUGAGUAAUGCUUAGGAAUCUGCCUAUUAGUGGGGGACAACAUUCCGAAAGGAAUGCUAAUACCGCAUACGCCCUACGGGGGAAAGCAGGGGAUCUUCGGACCUUGCGCUAAUAGAUGAGCCUAAGUCGGAUUAGCUAGUUGGUGGGGUAAAGGCCUACCAAGGCGACGAUCUGUAGCGGGUCUGAGAGGAUGGUCCGCCACACUGGGGCUGAGACACGGCCCAGACUCCUACGGGAGGGAGCAGUGGGGAAUAUUGGACAAUGGGCGGAAGCCUGAUCCAGCCAUGCCGCGUGUGUGAAGAAGGCCUUUUGGUUGUAAAGCACUUUAAGCGAGGAGGAGGCUACCUGGAUUAAUACUCUAGGAUAGUGGACGUUACUCGCAGAAUAAGCACCGGCUAACUCUGUGCCAGCCGCCGCCGUAACAC